UGCGGCCACGAAGGACGCGCUGAGUUCACGACCGCCAAAGCAGGCGGUGCGCUGGAGGCCCAGGAACGUCAUCCCAACCUGCAGCGGGUGCGUGUGUCAGGGCACAUCGGCAUUCGCUCUCAGCUCGUGGUAUGGCGACACUCGCGUGUUGCGUGUGUUCUAUAAACCCGUUGUGGCCCCAGCUUGAUCUGCCAUGUGAUGCUUACUCCUCCUGAGCCCAACUCGUCCAGAUAGAUCCUCACCAUGUUCGGGUUGCUGACGUUGGUCGCGACGCCGAGGCAGCUGUCAACGCUGACGCCGGUUCCCGUGAGCAGGGUUGUGUUGAGUGCGCGGCGCGAUGCCGCCUCAAAGAAACAGCCCACAUACGCGGUCAGCGGGGGCAGGAAGCCUGUACAAUGGAUUGCAGGCCCAGGGAGAACAGCAACUUAGCGGCUGCCGAUGCAAGCCGCGAAGAAGGAUAGCACAACUUACAGCAAGGGACCCUUAUUCACGCCGAGAUGCCCUAACGCAGGGCCAUGAACAAGUCGACUCACUUGGCGGCGGCGGCCGUGGCGGAGGUAGAGGCGGCGGCGGCCGCAGCUGCGGUGGUGGUGGCGGAGCCCCGAACAGAGGCGGCAGGGCUGGUGCUUUUCCAGACAGCACGGUAGCCUCAUCCGACAGGUCCCAAAAACGUGAGGCGCCAGGGGUGCUGCGAGGCACUGACGCCCGAGCCUUGGUGAUGGUGGACACGGCGAGCGACAGCUCCGGAACUGUCAGUGCCAUCCGGCCCUGUGCGUGCGUCAGCAACGCAGGUGCGUGGAGGCAGAACGUUGUUCAGUAAUGGCGCAAGACGACGCACAGCAGGCUCUCGUGUGCCCCUAAGCAAGAAACCGAGGCCUGCCCUGUCCUCCUCUCGCUACCGUAAUCUGUCCUUUGUUACACCCUCGCCUAGCAAUGAGUGCACUGCCCAAUCCACUCAAUCAUCGACCACGCCCAGGGACGCCCGUUCCCAACAACCCACGCCCACGCCCUCCCGCGCCCGCACCUGCAGGUACUCCACAUACUGGCUGGCCGCCAGCUCGGCGUUCUGCAGCUCGCUGGGGCUGGUCACAGUCAGGUUGCCGCCGGGGUCGGACACGUACCCGCUGAAC
rnacentral:lncRNA from 1 species